GGUUAAGCGACUAAGCGUACACGGUGGAUGCCCUGGCAGUCAGAGGCGAUGAAGGACGUGCUAAUCUGCGAAAAGCGUCGGUAAGGUGAUAUGAACCGUUAUAACCGGCGAUGUCCGAAUGGGGAAACCCAGUGUGAUUCGUCACACUAUCGUUAACUGAAUACAUAGGUUAACGAGGCGAACCGGGGGAACUGAAACAUCUAAGUACCCCGAGGAAAAGAAAUCAACCGAGAUUCCCCCAGUAGCGGCGAGCGAACGGGGAGCAGCCCAGAGUCUGAAUCAGCUUGUGUGUUAGUGGAACGGUCUGGAAAGUCCGACGGUACAGGGUGAUAGUCCCGUACACCAAAAUGCACAGGCUGUGAACUCGAAGAGUAGGGCGGGACACGUGGUAUCCUGUCUGAAUAUGGGGGGACCAUCCUCCAAGGCUAAAUACUCCUGACUGACCGAUAGUGAACCAGUACCGUGAGGGAAAGGCGAAAAGAACCCCGGCGAGGGGAGUGAAAAAGAACCUGAAACCGUGUACGUACAAGCAGUGGGAGCACCUUCGGGUGUGACUGCGUACCUUUUGUAUAAUGGGUCAGCGACUUAUAUUCUGUAGCAAGGUUAACCGUAUAGGGGAGCCGCAGGGAAACCGAGUCUUAACUGGGCGUUAAGUUGCAGGGUAUAGACCCGAAACCCGGUGAUCUAGCCAUGGGCAGGUUGAAGGUUGGGUAACACUAACUGGAGGACCGAACCGACUAAUGUUGAAAAAUUAGCGGAUGACUUGUGGCUGGGGGUGAAAGGCCAAUCAAACCGGGAGAUAGCUGGUUCUCCCCGAAAGCUAUUUAGGUAGCGCCUCGUGAACUCAUCUUCGGGGGUAGAGCACUGUUUCGGCUAGGGGGUCAUCCCGACUUACCAACCCGAUGCAAACUACGAAUACCGAAGAAUGUUAUCACGGGAGACACACGGCGGGUGCUAACGUCCGUCGUGAAGAGGGAAACAACCCAGACCGCCAGCUAAGGUCCCAAAGUCAUGGUUAAGUGGGAAACGAUGUGGGAAGGCACAGACAGCCAGGAUGUUGGCUUAGAAGCAGCCAUCAUUUAAAGAAAGCGUAAUAGCUCACUGGUCGAGUCGGCCUGCGCGGAAGAUGUAACGGGGCUAAACCAUGCACCGAAGCUGCGGCAGCGACACGAUGUGUUGUUGGGUAGGGGAGCGUUCUGUAAGCCUGCGAAGGUGACCUGUGAGGGUUGCUGGAGGUAUCAGAAGUGCGAAUGCUGACAUAAGUAACGAUAAAGCGGGUGAAAAGCCCGCUCGCCGGAAGACCAAGGGUUCCUGUCCAACGUUAAUCGGGGCAGGGUGAGUCGACCCCUAAGGCGAGGCCGAAAGGCGUAGUCGAUGGGAAACAGGUUAAUAUUCCUAUACUUGGUGUUACUGCGAAGGGGGGACGGAGAAGGCUAUGUUAGCCGGGCGACGGUUGUCCCGGUUUAAGCAUGUAGGCUGGUUAUCCAGGCAAAUCCGGAUAAUCAAGGCUGAGGUGUGAUGACGAGGCACUACGGUGCUGAAGUAACAAAUGCCCUGCUUCCAGGAAAAGCCUCUAAGCAUCAGGUAACAUCAAAUCGUACCCCAAACCGACACAGGUGGUCAGGUAGAGAAUACCAAGGCGCUUGAGAGAACUCGGGUGAAGGAACUAGGCAAAAUGGUGCCGUAACUUCGGGAGAAGGCACGCUGGUGUGUAGGUGAAGCCCCUGCGGGUGGAGCUGAGACCAGUCGAAGAUACCAGCUGGCUGCAACUGUUUAUUAAAAACACAGCACUGUGCAAACACGAAAGUGGACGUAUACGGUGUGACGCCUGCCCGGUGCCGGAAGGUUAAUUGAUGGGGUUAUCCGUAAGGAGAAGCUCUUGAUCGAAGCCCCGGUAAACGGCGGCCGUAACUAUAACGGUCCUAAGGUAGCGAAAUUCCUUGUCGGGUAAGUUCCGACCUGCACGAAUGGCGUAAUGAUGGCCAGGCUGUCUCCACCCGAGACUCAGUGAAAUUGAACUCGCUGUGAAGAUGCAGUGUACCCGCGGCAAGACGGAAAGACCCCGUGAACCUUUACUAUAGCUUGACACUGAACAUUGAGCCUUGAUGUGUAGGAUAGGUGGGAGGCUUUGAAGCGUGGACGCCAGUCUGCGUGGAGCCAACCUUGAAAUACCACCCUUUAAUGUUUGAUGUUCUAACGUUGGCCCCUGACCGGGGUUGCGGACAGUGUCUGGUGGGUAGUUUGACUGGGGCGGUCUCCUCCCAAAGCGUAACGGAGGAGCACGAAGGUUAGCUAAUCCUGGUCGGACAUCAGGAGGUUAGUGCAAUGGCAUAAGCUAGCUUGACUGCGAGCGUGACGGCGCGAGCAGGUGCGAAAGCAGGUCAUAGUGAUCCGGUGGUUCUGAAUGGAAGGGCCAUCGCUCAACGGAUAAAAGGUACUCCGGGGAUAACAGGCUGAUACCGCCCAAGAGUUCAUAUCGACGGCGGUGUUUGGCACCUCGAUGUCGGCUCAUCACAUCCUGGGGCUGAAGUAGGUCCCAAGGGUAUGGCUGUUCGCCAUUUAAAGUGGUACGCGAGCUGGGUUUAGAACGUCGUGAGACAGUUCGGUCCCUAUCUGCCGUGGGCGCUGGAGAAUUGAGGGGGGCUGCUCCUAGUACGAGAGGACCGGAGUGGACGCAUCACUGGUGUUCGGGUUGUCAUGCCAAUGGCACUGCCCGGUAGCUAAAUGCGGAAGAGAUAAGUGCUGAAAGCAUCUAAGCACGAAACUUGCCCCGAGAUGAGUUCUCCCUGAGACUUUAAGUCUCCUGAAGGAACGUUGAAGACGACGACGUUGAUAGGCCGGGUGUGUAAGCGCAGCGAUGCGUUGAGCUAACCGGUACUAAUGAACCGUGAGGCUUAACCUU
rnacentral:rRNA from 1 species